CAGACGGCUCACCAUGGAGCUGGCGCUGAGCUGGGUUUUCCUCUUUGCAAUUUUAAAAUGUGUCCAGGCUGAGGUGCAGCUGGUGGAGUCUGGAGGAGGCUUGGUGCAGCCCGGCGGCUCUCUGAGACUCUCCUGCGUGACCUCAGGAUUCACCUUGAGUAGCUGUGUCAUGAGCUGGAUCCGCCAGGCUCCAGGAAGAGGACUAGACUGGAUCUCAGACAUCGAUAGCAGUGAUGCUAAUGCAUAUUAUGCAGACUCCGUGAGGGGCCGAUUCACCAUCUCCAGAGACAACAGCAAGAACACGCUCUAUCUGCAAAUGAGCAGCCUGAGAACCGAGGACACGGCUGUGUAUUACUGUGCAACACACAGUGAGGGGACCUCAGUGUGA